UGCAUUUUGGCUCAUCAAUUCAGUUUUGCCUGCAUUUAAGAGAUCAUUGGAUGACUAUAUUCAAUCUACAACAAUGCUUCUAAGGCAGAGAUAUUGAAAAGAGGAGAGAGGAAUUUUAUUAAUAUUGAAUUCUACACACAUUAAUAUCAGCUUAUAUACAAGUAGCUGAUUUUCUAAGCUAAAGAAUUAACUAUAAGCUUAUACAACAAAGUUAACUAUAUGCUGAGGAAUUAGGAAACACGCAUUUGUAUCUCUCUGUUUUUCUUAAGUUUCUCUCACACCAGAAAAUAUUCACUGUAAGAAACCAAGAAUACCUCACAAAGAUUAAUGGCGAGAAUUGAACCAGUCCAUGAAGAAGAAGGACAAUUGCUGAGUUUUGAGGUGGAGGAGAGAGAAGGAAAUUGGCAGGAAAAUGGAGUUAUCGCUGUGAAAUGAAGUGUAGCUUCCAUGGAAGUGGAUGUUUAACUUUUUUUUUUUUUUUUUUUGUUGUUGUUGUUGAUGAUUUUCUCUCUCCUCUGAAAAAGGUUAGUUUUAGAUAGUAAUGGAGUAAAGGAGAGAGAAGGUCUUAUCCAACUGAAGAAGAUGAAGCAAAUAGGAUUAUCUAAUGCUCUGUAAAAAUCUGAUGAGACUCACGAGUAACUCUUUAUAAUUAUAAAAAGUAACCUCUAAUUCAGUAAAAGUAACCUCUUAUAAUGACACUUACAAGUAAAAGUAACCUCUUAUAAUUAUAAAAAGUAACCACUAUUCACUGUAGAAGUAACCCUUCAUAAUUACAAAAGUAACCCCUCAUAAUUAAAAGUAACUUCUAUUUACGGUUGAAGUAACCCCUUAUAAUUAAAAAGUAACUCCUAAUUUCAAUAAAAGUAACCCCUUAUAAUUACAAAAGUAACACUUACUUUUAGUAGAAGUAACUCCUUAACAUUACAAAAAGUAACCCCUAGUUAUAGUAAAAGUAAUCCCCUUACCGUUACAAAAAGUAACUUAUACUUUCAAUAAAAGUAACCCCUAUGUAUAAUAAAAGUAACCCCUAUUUACAAAAAAAGUAACCCCCUUAUAGGUACAAAAAGUAACCUAUACUUUCAGUAGGUACAAAAAGUAACCUAUACUUUCAGUAAAAGUAACUCCUUAGCAUUAUAAAAAGUAAUCCUUAGUGUCAGUAAAAUAACCCCUUAGUAUUGGAUAAAGUAAUCUCUAAUUCACUAAAAGUAACACUUUAACAUUGAAAAGCAACGCGUUUUACUUUUUAUGAAUAAAUGAGAUUACUUUAUAUAUAUAACGGGGAUACUUUUUAUGAACUAAUUAAUGGGUUACUUGUACCUUUCUUAUGAUUACUUUUUAUAAACAUUUCAAGCUAUUAUAUAAUAAUUAGAGUUACUUUUACGAACAUAUGAGGUUACUCGAACAAAUAAAUAAGGUUACUCAAACAUGUAAUUAGGGUUACUUUUAUUAACUAAUGAGGUUACUUUUAUAAUAUAAUGGGUCAUUUGAAAAUAUAUAUGAGGGUUACUUGUAAAAUAAAUGGGUUACUCGUAUGAUAAAAUAAGUGUACAAAUAAUAAUAGUUACUUAUUAUGAAGUAAUGGGUUCCUUGUAUCAUAAAAUAAGGUUACAAAUAAUAAGCAUUACACGUACAUUCAGAUAUGGUUAUUCGAAAACGGAUUCACGCUUGGCUUUUUCUAAAUGGGACACGAGCAUCAUUAUAAGGCAUAGCUUGGACUUAUUAUUAGAUGGCCACGUCCUUAUUUAUCAAUGUGUUAAUGGUAAAAUUUUAGAGGAAAUAAGAGGAAGGUGUGGCCCGCCUCAUAUAAAAGUUUGUGUUUUCUCCAACUGUUUGAAUAAUAACAAGUGUAUAUUACUCACAAUUUCCAUUUAUAUUGAUAUAUUUGUUGAUAUAUUUUCAUUGGAGUUGAAUUGUUGCUUAAUAUAAGGAGAUUUCAUUAGUAACCAUUGGUAUUUGGCACUGAUGUGUGAUGUCUGUGUUCAUAAUAUGCAGUCGAUCACAACAAAUGGCUACGCAAGCGGAGUCUGUACUUAAGGUCCAAAAGCUGCUAUCCAUAGCUAUUGGUGGUUUUCUUUCCGGCGAGAACGCAUCUGCCGUAGGUAAUGAUUUCCAUUCAUACUUUAUUGUAGUAGGCUUUCUAUUUCUGAGAAAUGUUAAUUUUUCAAAAUUGUUAAGCCUCGAAGAUGGAGACAGGGGACUCUGGUGCCCCUGAAACCAUCCUACCAGCCAAGUUAACAGAAGUAAUAGACUAUGGGCGUGUUCGGCAACAAUAGCUGUGGUGGUAGCUUUUAGCUGUGAGAGUAGCUGUUAGCUGUGCUGGUAGCUGUUAGUGGUUGGUGUGUAGCUGUUAGCUGUUAGAUGUCCAAGUAGCGGUGUAAAAUAUUGAUGUUCGGUAAAAGAAGCUGUCAAAGUAGUUGUUUAAGAAUAACUAGUUAAAAACUCAAAUAAAACUUUAACAUAUAAUUUAUACACCACUAAAAGCUACCCAAAAGCUACAAAUUGUAGCUUUUGACAAACACUACUAAAACACUACUUGUACCAUUAAAAGCUACUUACACCACUAUCUUGCCAAACACUUUUAUUUUUUCUAACUAGCUUUCCACCCGUGCAAAAAUGCACGGGAGGUUUAUGUAGAAAUGAUUUGGAGCCGUGUAUAAUGUACAACAAUUGUUUUGUAUAUUAUGUAGUUGUUUUUAUU